UGGGGAAUAUUGGACAAUGGGCGAAAGCCUGAUCCAGCCAUGCCGCGUGUGUGAAGAAGGUCUUCGGAUUGUAAAGCACUUUAAGUUGGGAGGAAGGGCAGUAAGCGAAUACCUUGCUGUUUUGACGUUACCGACAGAAUAAGCACCGGCUAACUCUGUGCCAGCAGCCGCGGUAAUACAGAGGGUGCAAGCGUUAAUCGGAAUUACUGGGCGUAAAGCGCGCGUAGGUGGUUCGUUAAGUUGAAUGUGAAAGCCCCGGGCUCAACCUGGGAACUGCAUCCAAAACUGGCGGGCUAGGGUAGGGCAGAGGGUAGUUGGAUUUCCUGGGUAGCGGUGAAAUGCGUAGAUAUAGGAAGGAACACCAGUGGCGAAGGCGACCACCUGGGCUCAUACUGACACUGGGGUGCGAAAGCGUGGGGAGCAAACAGG
rnacentral:rRNA from 1 species